UGGAAGCUAUUUGGAGACUUUAUGAGGA
rnacentral:piRNA from 1 species